ACCUCUGCUUUUCUGGCUCUGUUACCUGAAGCACCAACUUGGGUCCCAUCUAAGUAUCUUGCAAUUCAGUUGCAAUGGUGGUGCUUCAACAAACACCCAUUUAUGACCUGGCGGCCGCCAUCUUAAAGUUUGACCGGAUUGGUUUGUCCCACCUUGCACAUGUUUAACUGUCAUAGUACUCAUGACAUGUUGGGUCACAUGUAUUGGAUCACGUGUAUUCAAUACUACCAUUUGGUUAUUGCUUUUAGGGUAAUUUAUAUUGCCACCCCCUGGAGAAUGCCACAAUUAUAAGACCACCCCCUCUGUUUCACCAAAUUAUACUCAGAUCCCCUACUAUCAGUUACUGUUAAGGAAUGCUAUGAAGUGACGCUUUUGCCCUUAUGAGUAAAAAAUUGAUAACUUAUCCAUUUUCAUUAUCCCAAAAAUACCCCUUUUACCAUUUUACCAUUUCAUUCUCCUUAUCUCUUUCUCUCCUUCUCUCCAUAGUGCGACCAGGGGUUUAGAUGAGUUCCAGCCGAGCCGAGUACUGCUAGUUCCGUUGCCGGCAAAUACUUCUCCUUUCGUCGCCGGUGAGAAGUGCGGUUCCCAUCGCUGCCAUCUUAGGUCGCCGGCGAGAAAAAAAAUCCAUACUAUGUUAGAACCGUAUGAGAAUUUGCAAAAAAACAAUCUAGAAAUAAUCCAAAACAGCUUGAAAGAAAAAAAAAUAAAAAAAAGAGUAAUCUCAUGGCAAAUCAAUUGGAAAAAAAAAACCUACAAUCAGCACCGAACAUGGGGUUUGUAGGGUUUUUUAUCUACCUGGAAAGCUCCAAUUAAUGUCAUGUUUCUUUGGUUCUUGGGUGUCUACUGUUACUUUUCUGAGUUUAAAAGGCUACUGAAACAUUAAACAAGAUGAAUCACAUGUUCAGGAAGUCAGCUUUGAUUGCUUCCUUGGCAUCGAAGCAGACUCGAAUUGCUUUGAUCUCUUUGGGGUCAUUUCGUUUUGAUUCAUCUACAAUAGCUUCUGAAACUGUUAAAGACUGUGUUUAGUGGUGAAAUUUUUUCAUCUUCGCGUUCUAAGUUUCCGGCGAAGUUUUGGCGUUAGAUUUUCAUUUCUCGACUGUUCCGUUGGAUUUUAGAGCUUCAGUCGCUGCAAGAGCGGAGUAUGCAAUUGAUGAUUACUAUGAUAAGGAGAGGUCUUUGGGGAAGAAGGUCGGUGGAGAGAACGAGGAAGGGCCGACGAAGGCCAACCACGAAUAGUUGAAAGAGAAAGUGAUUCCUCCUUCGUCAAAGGAUUCGCUAACUUACCAACCAACUCAAAGAUUCCAUGAGGCCGUCUCCGAGGAGGAAUCCAAUAAGAAGAUCCAGGUAGAAAUGGGAGCCAACUGGUGCCGAUCUUCUAACGAUGAUUCGACCUCGAUCAGCUGCGCUUUCUCAGAAUGAUUCGAUCUAUUCCUAUCUUUUAGAAAGCGUGAUGAUAGUGCGAAAGAUGGGAUUUUAGUUGAGAGAAAUUGAGGAGAAGAGGAGAGUUGAAUUAGGGUUUGGGAGAGGGAUCGAGCCAUGGAAAAGCAGCGGUGGAACCCCAGAAAAUGAGAGAGGGAUGGAGAGGAUUUUAGACUUCUGUUAUUUCUGGAUAUGAAGGAGAGGCUGGAGCUAACAAUAGCGGUUGCCUCCUGCAGAGAAGAAACGUUGUGGUCGUCGCGAUGUCCUACCGGUCGUCAUCCGUCGCUAAUGCCGCCGCCGCUACAACGAUCGCCGGUGGUCUAAAUCCCAUGAUUUGGGAUAACGGUAAAUUAGGUUUUUGGAAUUGGUUAACUUAAUACAAGGGUAUUUUAGGUACUUCAUAUUUAAUAAAGGUAUUUUGGUAUUUAAAAUAAAAUAUAAUUGCUGACAUCAGCAUAUAAGGUAUAUUCCUUAACAGUGACUAACGGUAGGGGUCUGAGCAUAAUUUGGUGAAAUAGAGGGGGUGAUCUUAUAAUUGUGGCAUUCUUCAGGGGGUGGCACUGUAAAUUACCCUUGUUUUUAUGAACAUCUUAACCUAUUAUGUAUCAUUUUAUUUUCUUAUAACUUUUUCCCUAAUUAUUCUAUUUUUAUAUAUAUUGUAGGUUGGUAUAAAUAUUACAAAAAACCAAGGCAAUGAAUUUUUCUGCUUUCUCUAGAUGUCUGCUACUGCUUUCUUCUUUUUCUUCUUAACUUUUGUUUUCCGAUAAAUCACAACAUCAUUAGAAAAGUUCAAGUACAACCCCGAAGAGCUUCCUAGAACAACUGAAAAUACAUUGAAAGCAAGAAGCAGAACUCUCUCUAAAACUUCUCACAACAGAUAAGAAUGUUGGAUGUUUGCACCCUGAAAAAUCUUUUUUCAUUUGUAUUUUUUUGUUUUGGUUACUAUUGACUCCUUGAUAUUACUAAUUGCAUCCAUGUACACAAAUAUGUUGUUUGAUUUAAUUUUGUUCUUCCACGUUGUUUGGAGGUAGUAAUGGAAUGAGGGGGGACAUGGUGGUGGACCAGAAGGACUAUCCUACACCACCAUUCGUGUGUCUUGGGAUUGCCAUGGAAGAGGCAUCAUAACCUUGCAUUCAAGUUAGCUACUCUAUGAGCACCAUUUAGCUCUAUCUUAAUUCUCAAGACCUAACAAGUGCAGCUGGGGAGGCGUGUCACAGGUGAAGGCAGAUGAUUGUGUCAUAGGUUCCUACAUGCUUAUAUUCUUAGGUGCAUCUUGUAUUCUUAUAAUGCAAGUAAACAUGUCAUGUUACAACUACUAAUACCAUGUCUCUUUGUGCAUGUGAGUGCUUCUUACAUGAACAUGGGCAUGCUGGUUUAUGUUUAGCGCACAAACAAAUAUCUGUUUGGUGCUUCUUGUCCCUCUAGCAGCAACUGGAAAAUUGGAUUAACACAUGGAUUACCAUGCAUAACUGGACAUGCUUGCUGGAUAGCACGCAUUUCUAUUCCAUUUAUGUUAAUCCUUGUCCCUGAGUAGAAGAGAAGACAGUUUUCAGUAGCCAAGAUAACAGUAUGAUUUGGAUGGUUGGUUCACCUAAGCCCUCUGGUAGUAACUGGAGAACUGCAGCUGGAAUUAACCCUUGUCCCUGAGUGAAAGAAGAUAAUUUGCUUUAGACAAUAUUUACAAUAUGAUUUGGAUGGUUAGUUAACCUUUUCUUGCCCAUAUCUGCAUCAAAUCUGUCCUUGUGGAAGACUUUUUGAAUCUAAAUUGGAUUGUGCAAGUUUGGCACUAGAUGCUUCAAGACUUGGUCUGACUUCUUGGGUUUAUAGAAAAUCUGUUUCUUUAUUCCCAUUUUUAACGAUAUCUGUAAAUUAUUCCGCUCGUUUUGAGUAGUGAAACCACUGCACUUUUUAUUAUCC